GAGAGAGAGAGAGAGAGAGAGAGAAAUGGCGAGCGAGGAAGAGAGCGCAGUGAAAGAGCCAUUGGAUCUCAUUAGACUCAGUCUUGAUGAGCGCAUCUACGUCAAGCUCCGCUCCGAACGUGAGCUCCGUGGCAAACUCCACGCUUAUGAUCAGCAUCUAAAUAUGAUUCUUGGGGAUGUUGAAGAAAUUGUUACUUCACUAGAAAUUGAUGACGAAACUUAUGAAGAGAUUGUUCGCACUACAAGGCGCG
rnacentral:misc_RNA from 1 species